GAAGAAAAAAUCUAAAAACUACAAAUCUACUUGUGCUACGAAAAGGAGAGGAGGGGCUAGGAGUCGUCUCUUGUUUGGUCUGUUUAAUUAUUUUGUCUUUCUUUUCUUUCCAUGUGCGUUUUCUUCCU
rnacentral:ribozyme from 1 species